AUUGAACGCUGGCGGCAGGCUUAACACAUGCAAGUCGAGCGGGGACUUCGGUCCUAGCGGCGAACGGGUGAGGAAUGCUUGGGAAUCUGCCCAGUAGCGGGGGAUAACGUUUCGAAAGGAACGCUAAUACCGCAUACGCCCUACGGGGGAAAGGGGGGGAUCUUCGGACCUCUCACUAUUGGAUGAGCCCAAGUCGGAUUAGCUAGUUGGUGGGGUAAAGGCCUACCAAGGCGACGAUCCGUAGCUGGUCUGAGAGGAUGAUCAGCCACACUGGAACUGAGACACGGUCCAGACCCCUACGGGAGGCAGCAGUGGGGAAUAUUGGACAAUGGGCGAAAGCCUGAUCCAGCCAUGCCGCGUGUGUGAAGAAGGCCUUCGGGUUGUAAAGCACUUUCAGUAGGGAGGAAGCGUUGUGUGUUAAUAGUACACAGCGUUGACGUUACCUACAGAAGAAGCACCGGCUAACUCUGUGCCAGCCGCCGCUGUAAUAC
rnacentral:rRNA from 1 species